GGCGCUGGACCGCGCUCGGCCUGGCCCGGAGCCGCCUCCAACGGCAGCGCGGAACCCGGCCCGGCGAUGCUGACGGCGGAGCGGGGAGGGGGCCGCCAGGAAGGCCUCAGCGGCUCCGCGGCCCCGGGGUGGCGCUGGGGAUGAGGGCGAGCCGCGCCCCCAUCUUUACUGAGGGCAGCGGCCUUCGCUCUGAGGACGGGCGCGACGCCGCGGGCGCCAUCUUGAGUGCGGGCGCUGACGCCUCCGUCUCUCUCCGGCCGGGCCCGGCCCAGUCAGCGCACGGGAGGGCCGCGCUUCGCUGUCAGCCGUGUUUUACAGAGCUGAGGCGGCUGGCUCCAGGGAGAGGGCUGCAGCUGAGGGGCGGCGUAAACGUUUUAUUGACUACAAAAAGAAGCACCUCGAAGCAGAUAUGAAAGCCUGCGAACAGCACCGUUUGUCCGUUUACAGGAAGAGAAGGCGGCGUCACAUCGUUAAACACUGAGAGAACCAGAAGGAUGAAAUGAGCGUGUGAGGAGCGGCCGUUGCUGAGCGGAGCAGCGGAGCCCUGGCAGUGCUGCUGGCUGUGGGCUGGGCCCAGUCCCAGAGGGGCUCAGCGACCCCCGUGGGUGCCUCUGUGCUGUGGUUCCGUGGCUGUAUGCUGUCACUGAGGUGCCAUCAGUCCCCAUCAGCGCACAGUGCUCUCCGCUGCCUUUCUGCUCUAUGCCUGCUUCUGGUACUGGCCCUCCGUCGCAGUAAAGAAAUCCUCCAAAAUGCUCUGCAUGUACUCAAAGGUGGGACGGUCCUCUGGUUUGGUCUUCCAGCAUCUUAUCAUGACAUCGUAAAGCUCCUCAGGGCAGCUUUCUGUGCGGGGCAUGCGGUAGCCGUGCUCCAGGGCCCUGAUCACCUCCGCGCUCGACAUCCCUAGAGAAGUGGGGCAGAACAUUUCAGGGGCUGUCCCUGAUUUCUUUAAAAAGGCAACAAACACACAAAACCCAACCCCCACCCUUUGGGCAGCGUCGCUAUGGAGGGAAAGGACAGGUUGGAGGAGCAGGGGGAGGGCAGAUCCUGCUCCUCUGCAGGGAAACAUGUCAGAAAUUGUGAUGCCACGUCCCUUGUCCCUGUGGUUUUGCACCCCCUUUGAGCAGAUCAGAUGGGAAUUGUAAUUGUUUUGUAAGAAUUCCCAAGAAAUAAAGGCUCCUUAGCCAUG